UACGUAGGGUGCAAGCGUUAAUCGGAAUUACUGGGCGUAAAGCGUGCGCAGGCGGCUCGGAAAGAAAGAUGUGAAAUCCCAGGGCUUAACCUUGGUAUGGCAUUUUUAACUCCCGAGCUAGAGUAUGUCAGAGGGGGGUAGAAUUCCACGUGUAGCAGUGAAAUGCGUAGAGAUGUGGAGGAAUACCGAUGGCGAAGGCAGCCCCCUGGGAUAAUACUGACGCUCAGGCACGAAAGCGUGGGGAGCAAACAGG
rnacentral:rRNA from 1 species